GAUGAACGCUAGCUACAGGCUUAACACAUGCAAGUCGAGGGGUAGCAGGGUAGCAAUACCGCUGACGACCGGCGCACGGGUGAGUAACACGUAUCCAACCUUCCCAUAACUCUGGGAUAGCCUUUCGAAAGAAAGAUUAAUACCGGAUGGUACUUUUUCAAGGCAUCUUGAGAAAGUUAAAGAUUUAUUGGUUAUGGAUGGGGAUGCGUUCCAUUAGAUAGUUGGUGAGGUAACGGCUCACCAAGUCUUCGAUGGAUAGGGGUUCUGAGAGGAAGGUCCCCCACAUUGGUACUGAGACACGGACCAAACUCCUACGGGAGGCAGCAGUGAGGAAUAUUGGUCAAUGGGCGAGAGCCUGAACCAGCCAAGUAGCGUGAAGGAUGAAGGUCCUAUGGAUUGUAAUCUUCUUUUAUAGUAGAAUAAAGUGAUCCACGUGUGGAUUUUUGUAUGUAUACUGUGAAUAAGGAUCGGCUAACUCCGUGCCAGCCGCCGCCGUAA
rnacentral:rRNA from 1 species